ACGCACGCUGGCGGCGUGCCUAAUACAUGCAAGUCGAGCGGACGGAUGGGAGCUUGCUCCCAGACCGUCAGCGGCGGACGGGUGAGUAACACGUGGGCAACCUGCCUGUAAGACUGGGAUAACUCCGGGAAACCGGGGCUAAUACCGGAUAACUCUUUCCCUCACAUGAGGGAAAGCUGAAAGAUUGCAUCUCGCUAUCACUUACAGAUGGGCCCGCGGCGCAUUAGCUAGUUGGUGAGGUAACGGCUCACCAAGGCGACGAUGCGUAGCCGACCUGAGAGGGUGAUCGGCCACACUGGGACUGAGACACGGCCCAGACUCCUACGGGAGGCAGCAGUAGGGAAUCUUCCGCAAUGGACGAAAGUCUGACGGAGCAACGCCGCGUGAGUGAUGAAGGUUUUCGGAUCGUAAAACUCUGUUGUCAGGGAAGAACAAGUACCGGAGUAACUGCCGGUACCUUGACGGUACCUGACCAGAAAGCCACGGCUAACUACGUG
rnacentral:rRNA from 1 species